GAUGAAGAACGUAGCGAAAUGCGAUACUUGGUGUGAAUUGCAGAAUCCCGUGAACCAUCGAGUCUUUGAACGCAAGUUGCGCCCGAAGCCAUUAGGCCGAGGGCACGCCUGCCUGGGCGUCACACGUCGUUGCCCCCCCAUCUACUCCUUCGGGAUUGCGGGGGGCGGAUGAUGGCCUCCCGUGCGCCUUGUCGCGCGGUUGGCAUAAAUACCAAGUCCUCGGCGACGCACGCCACGACAAUCGGUGGUUGCGAAACCUCGGUUGCCUGUCGUGUGCGGUCGUCGCGCAUCGAGGGCUCGAAAAAAUUGUCUGGCUUCGGCUCGGCUUUCAACGCGACCCCAGGUCAGGCGGGGUUACCCGCUGAAUUUAAGCAUAUCAAUAAGCGGAGGA
rnacentral:misc_RNA from 1 species